UACCAGUACCCCGAGUGGUCGGGACGAUUAUUGGGCCUAAAGCAUCCGUAGCCGGUCCUACAAGUCUUCCGUUAAAUCCACCUGCUUAACAGAUGGGCUGCGGAAGAUACUAUAGGGCUAGGAGGCGGGAGAGGCAAGCGGUACUCAGUGGGUAGGGGUAAAAUCCUCUGAUCCAUUGAAGACCACCAGUGGCGAAGGCGGCUUGCCAGAACGCGCUCGACGGUGAGGGAUGAAAGCUGGGGGAGCAAACCGG
rnacentral:rRNA from 1 species